rnacentral:rRNA from 1 species
UACGGGGGGGGGCAAGCGUUGUUCGGAAUUACUGGGCGUAAAGGGCUCGUAGGCGGCCAACUAAGUCGGAUGUGAAAUCCCCAGGCUUAACCUGGGAACUGCAUCCGAUACUGGAUGGCUUGAAUCCGGGAGAGGGAUGCAGAAUUCCCGGUGUAGUGGUGAAAUGCGUAGAUAUCGGGAGGAACACCAGUGGCGAAGGCGGCUUCCUGGCCUGUUCUUGACGCUGAGGCGCGAAAGCUAGGGGAGCAAACGGG